rnacentral:rRNA from 1 species
UACGUAGGGGGCGAGCGUUGUCCGGAAUUAUUGGGCGUAAAGAGCUCGUAGGCGGCUUGGCAAGUCGGAUGUGAAAACUCCAGGCUCAACCUGGAGCCGCCAUUCGAUACUGCUAUGGCUAGAGUCCGGUAGGGGAGUGUGGAAUUCCCGGCGUAGCGGUGAAAUGCGCAGAUAUCGGGAGGAACACCGAUGGCGAAGGCAGCACUCUGGGCCGGCACUGACGCUGAGGAGCGAAAGCGUGGGGAGCGAACAGG